rnacentral:rRNA from 1 species
AUUGCCCCAGUAACGGCGAGUGAAGCGGCAACAGCUCAAAUUUGAAAUCUGGCCCCCCGUGGUCCGAGUUGUAAUUUGUAGAGGAUGCUUUUGGUGAGGUGCCGCCCGAGUUCCCUGGAACGGGACGCCACAGAGGGUGAGAGCCCCGUCUGGCUGGCCACCGAGCCUCUGUAAAGCUCCUUCGACGAGUCGAGUAGUUUGGGAAUGCUGCUCAAAAUGGGAGGUAUAUGUCUUCUAAAGCUAAAUAUUGGCCAGAGACCGAUAGCGCACAAGUAGAGUGAUCGAAAGAUGAAAAGCACCUUGAAAAGAGGGUUAAAUAGUACGUGAAAUUGUUGAAAGGGAAGCGCUUGUGACCAGACUUGGGCGCGGCGGAUCAUCCGGGGUUCUCUCCGGUGCACUUCGCCGCGUUCAGGCCAGCAUCAGUUCGUCGCGGGGGAUAAAGGCUUCGGGAACGUGGCUCCUCCGGGAGUGUUAUAGCCCGUUGCAUAAUACCCUGCGGUGGACUGAGGACCGCGCAUCUGCAAGGAUGCUGGCGUAAUGGUCACCAGCGACCCGUCUUGAAACACGGACCAAGGAGUCGUCUUCGUAUGCGAGUGUUCGGGUGUCAAACCCCUACGCGUAAUGAAAGUGAACGCAGGUGAGAGCUUCGGCGCAUCAUCGACCGAUCCUGAUGUUCUCGGACGGAUUUGAGUAAGAGCAUACGGGGCCGGACCCGAAAGAAGGUGAACUAUGCCUGUAUAGGGUGAAGCCAGAGGAAACUCUGGUGGAGGCUCGCAGCGGUUCUGACGUGCAAAUCGAUCGUCAAAUAUGGGCAUGGGGGCGAAAGACUAAUCGAACCUUCUAGUAGCUGGUUCCGC